rnacentral:snRNA from 1 species
GGGUGUGAGGGUGAUCCAGCUGUGGCAGUUGUCACCCCACUGAUCACCAAGGAUCACCAAGGAUGAUUCAGCUGAUCUGGUUGUCUAGGCAGAUGUCCCCUUCCUCCCUCAUUACUUCGUGUGGAUCCCUCCUUGAGCUACCACAUUUUGAUAGAAGGAGUGUUCUGUUCUUCAGUCAAAAGUAUACAAUAGUUGUACUCUUGACUUCAUCAAAAUUGGAGUGCUUGGAUGAGUGACCACCUCAGAGGCUUCAAUGGACAAUUCAGACUAUGGGGUUCUUCAGAAUUUCCCCCAAACUG